AGAGAGAGACAUGCGCGCAUAUCAAUAAGCGGAGGAAAAGAAACUAACAAGGAUUCCCUUAGUAACGGCGAGUGAAGCGGGAAGAGCUCAAAUUUGAAAUCUUCAAGGUUCUACCUUGACGAAUUGUAGUUUAUAGAAGUGUUUUCUGUUAGUGGAGUGGCGAAAAGUUCUUUGGAAUAGGACAUCAUAGGAGGGUGAGAAUCCCGUAUUUGGUCAUUCCUCCUAGCGUUGUGAUACACUUUCAACGAGUCGGAUUGUUUGGGAAUGCAGUCCAAGAUGGGUGGUAAAUUUCAUCUAAAGCUAAAUAUUGGCGAGAGACCGAUAGCGAACAAGUACCGUGAGGGAAAGAUGGAAAGAACUUUGAAAAGAGAGUUAAACAGUACGUGAAAUUGUUAAAAGGGAAGCGUUUGACACCAGUGUUGUUUUUCCGAAAAUCAAUUACGAAUGUUUUAUUUUUGAGGAGUUAUGACUUCAUCGGCUUGCUCCUUUCUUUAUGAAACUUUCUUAAUGCACUUUUCGGUUAACAAGUCAACAUCAAUUUCUUUUGUUGUAAAAGGGUAUGAGGAAGGUGGCUUUCUUUUCGGAGAAAGUGUUUAUAGCCUUGUGCCUCUGCAAUCGGAGAGAUUGAGGUCUGCAGCGUAGAUCCUUCAGGGUUAGAUACGUUUGUGCUAAGUUAUAGCUUUUCAUAGACAACUUGUUGACUAUGUUUAGUCUUGUAGCUUACUCGCUGACGCUAUUUUACCUACGCUUAGGAUGUUGAUAGUCACAGCGUGUAC
rnacentral:rRNA from 1 species